rnacentral:rRNA from 1 species
UCUUGCUAAGUUUGAUGGCGACCGGCGCACGGGUGAGUAACACGUAUCCAACCUGCCGAUAACUCGGGGAUAGCCUUUCGAAAGAAAGAUUAAUACCCGAUGGCAUAAUAGAACCGCAUGGUUUGAUUAUUAAAGAAUUUCGGUUAUCGAUGGGGAUGCGUUCCAUUAGGCAGUUGGUGGGGUAACGGCCCACCAAACCUUCGAUGGAUAGGGGUUCUGAGAGGAAGGUCCCCCACAUUGGAACUGAGACACGGUCCAAACUCCUACGGGAGGCAGCAUG